GGGAAGUCCCUCUACAGCGAGGCAGCAAUUUUCGUUUACACCGAGAAUGUCGGCGGUUCGAGCCCGUCACUGCCCACCA
rnacentral:tRNA from 1 species